UACGUAGGGGGCUAGCGUUGUCCGGAAUCAUUGGGCGUAAAGCGCGUGUAGGCGGCCCGAUAAGUCCGCUGUGAAAGUCCAAGGCUCAACCCUGGGAUGCCGGUGGAUACUGUCGGGCUCGAGUCCGGAAGAGGCGAGUGGAAUUCCUGGUGGUAGCGGUGAAAUGACGCAGAUAUCAGGAGGAACACCAAUGGCGAAGGCGGCUCUCUGGGACGGUACUGACGCUGAGACGCGAAAGCGUGGGGAGCGAACAGG
rnacentral:rRNA from 1 species